rnacentral:lncRNA from 1 species
UGACCGGCUCAGUGACCAUGUGAUCGUGUCUGGGCCAGAGGACGAGGGGCUGUACGACUGUGUGUGCACAUGGACUCACCAGCAGCACCUGUACCGCUCUGUGGGCUCCAAACCAGUGUGUCUCAAAGAGCCGACCAUUGUUCUGGAUGAAGUGAUGAUCCUGACUCCAACUGAGGAAGAGCAGCUCGCCGAUGCAGGUUCCCGGCUGCUGCUCAACUGCUCAGUGCUCUGUGGCACCAACGUCCCGCAGCACAACUGUAAGGCAUGGUGGCGCACUGAAACAUCAGCUUUAACCUCUAAGCGCUACAACCGGACCAAAGUGUGAGUACAUCCGAAUCGAGCAGAUUGGUAAGAGGUCUAAGC